CCGCCGGCGACCGGCGCACGGGUGAGUAACACGUAUGCAACCUGGCCGUGACAGAUGGAUAACCGGGAGAAAUCCCGCCUAAUACAACAUAAUGCCGGGAGGGGACAUCCCCUGCCGGUCAAAGGGGGCGACCCCGGUCAUGGAUGGGCAUGCGGCGCAUUAGGUAGUUGGUGGGGCAACGGCCCACCAAGCCGACGAUGCGUAGGGGUUCUGAGAGGAAGGUCCCCCACAUUGGAACUGAGACACGGUCCAAACUCCUACGGGAGGCAGCAG
rnacentral:rRNA from 1 species